rnacentral:rRNA from 1 species
UACGUAGGGGGCUAGCGUUGUCCGGAUUUAUUGGGCGUAAAGAGCGUGUAGGCGGCCAGGUAGGUCUGCUGUGAAAACAUCGAGGUCUCAACCUCGAGACGUCGGCGGAAACCAUCUGGCUAGAGUCCGGAAGAGGAGAGUGGAAUCCUGGAUGUAGCGGUGAAAUGCGCAGAUAUCAGGAAGAACACCCGUGGCGAAGGCGGCUCUCUGGGAACGGUACUGACGCUGAGACGCGAAAGCGUGGGAGCGAACAGG